rnacentral:rRNA from 1 species
GAUCAACGCUGGCGGCGUGCUUAACACAUGCAAGUCGAACGGCAACUCCUUUCUUGAAACUCCGGUAGAUUUAAUUUAAUUCCAGUGCCGCACGGGCGAGUAACCCGUCGGUAACCUGCCUUCUACAGGGGGAUAACAGUCAGACAUGGCCGCUAAUACCGCCCCCGCGCCCAGCGCGGCACGGCGCACUGUGAAAAACUCCGGUGGUAUAAGAUGGACCCCCGUUGGAUUAGCUAGUUGGUGGGGUAACGGCCCAACAAGGCGACGAUCCAUAGCCGGCCUGAGAGGGUGAACGGCCACAUUGGGACUGAGACACGGCCCAGACUCCUACGGGAGGCAGCAGUGGGGAAUAUUGCACAAUGGGGGAAACCCUGAUGCAGCGACGCCGCGUGAAGGAAGAAGUAUCUCGGUAUGUAAACUUCUAUCAGCAGGGAAGAUAAUGACGGUACCUGACUAAGAAGCCCAGGCGAACUACGGGCCAGCCGCCGCCGUAA